AUUGAACGCUGGCGGCAGGCUUAACACAUGCAAGUCGAGCGGGGUGAUGGUGCUUGCACUAUCACUUAGCGGCGGACGGGUGAGUAAUGCUUAGGAAUCUGCCCAUUAGUGGGGGACAACAUCUUGAAAGGGAUGCUAAUACCGCAUACGUCAUACGGGAGAAAGCAGGGGAUCACUUGUGACCUUGCGCUAAUAGAUGAGCCCAAGUCGGAUUAACUAGUUGGUGGGGUAAAGGCCUACCCAGGCGGCGAUCUGUGGCGGGUCUGAGAGGAUGAUCCGGCACACUGGGACUGAGACACGGCCCAGACUCCUACGGCAGGCAGCAGUGGGGAAUAUUGGACAAUGGGGGGAACCCUGAUCCAGCCAUGCCGCGUGUGUGAAGAAGGCCUUAUGGUUGUAACGCACUUUAAGCGAGGAGGAGGCUCUUUUGGUUAAUACCCAAGAUGAGUGGACGUUACUCGCAGAAUAAGCACCGGCUAACUCUGUGCCAGCAGCCGCAGUAACAC
rnacentral:rRNA from 1 species